GGAAAUCUCUCCAGGCCCGGACACUGGAAGGGUUGACAGACUUAUAGCUCUUUCUUGAUUCUGUGGGUGGUGGUGCAUGGCCGUUCUUAGUUGGUUGAGUGAUUUGUCUGGUUAAUUCCGUUAACGAACGAGACCUUAACCUGCUAAAUAGUGACGCGGUUCAUCGAACCGUGGGCCACUUCUUAGAGGGACUAUCGGAUUCAAACCGAUGGAAGUGUGAGGCAAUAA
rnacentral:rRNA from 1 species